rnacentral:rRNA from 1 species
GACGAACGCUGGCGGCGUGCUUAACACAUGCAAGUCGAACGGAAAGGCCCUGCUUGCAGGGUACUCGAGUGGCGAACGGGUGAGUAACACGUGGGUGAUCUGCCCUGCACUUCGGGAUAAGCCUGGGAAACUGGGUCUAAUACCGGAUAGGAGCCAUUUUUAGUGUGAUGGUUGGAAAGUUUUUUCGGUGUAGGAUGAGCUCGCGGCCUAUCAGCUUGUUGGUGGGGUAAUGGCCUACCAAGGCGGCGACGGGUAGCCGGCCUGAGAGGGUGGACGGCCACAUUGGGACUGAGAUACGGCCCAGACUCCUACGGGAGGCAGCAGUGGGGAAUAUUGCACAAUGGGCGCAAGCCUGAUGCAGCGACGCCGCGUGGGGGAUGGCGGCCUUCGGGUUGUAAACUCCUUUCGCUAGGGACGAAGCUUUUUGUGACGGUA